rnacentral:rRNA from 1 species
UCCUGGUGGUGCCCUUCCGUCAAUUCCUUUAAGUUUCAGCUUUGCAACCAUACUUCCCCCGGAACCCAAAAGCUUUGGUUUCCCGGAAGCUGCCCGCCGAGUCAUCGGAGGAACGUCGGCGGAUCGCUAGCUGGCAUCGUUUAUGGUCAGAACUAGGGCGGUAUCUGAUCGCCUUCGAACCUCUGACUUUCGUUCUUGAUUAAUGAAAACAUUUUUGGCAAAUGCUUUCGCUUCUGUCCGUCUUGCGACGAUCCAAGAAUUUCACCUCUAACGUCGCAAUACGAAUGCCCCCAUCUGUCCCUAUUAAUCAUUACCUCGGGGUUCCGAAAACCAACAAAAUAGAACCGAGGUCCUGUUCCAUUAUUCCAUGCACACAGUAUUCAGGCGAAAUUUUAGCCUGCUUUGAGCACUCUAAUUUGUUCAAAGUAAACGUGCCGGCCCGCCUCGACACUCAAUUAAGAGCACCGCGACAGGAUUAUUGAGUCGGACGGUAAAGCGCCUGCAACCCCACCACAUCAUACAGUAACAACCGAAGUUGCACACGCACAAUGGGGAAGCAUACAGGGUCUACGCGUCCACCGGCAGGACGUUCCGCGGACGUGCCAGUUAAACACCGCGGGCGGUGAACCGACAGCGCGGAACACAAAUUCAACUACGAGCUUUUUAACCGCAACAACUUUAAUAUACGCUAUUGGAGCUGGAAUUACCGCGGCUGCUGGCACCAGACU